rnacentral:rRNA from 1 species
UACGAAGGGGGCUAGCGUUGCUCGGAAUCACUGGGCGUAAAGGGCGCGUAGGCGGCCAGCACAAGUCAGUUGUGAAAUCUCCGAGCUUAACUCGGAACGGUCAACUGAUACUGUGCGGCUAGAGUGCGGAAGGGGCAACUGGAAUUCUUGGUGUAGCGGUGAAAUGCGUAGAUAUCAAGAGGAACACCUGCGGCGAAGGCGGGUUGCUGGGCCGACACUGACGCUGAUGCGCGAAAGCCAGGGGAGCGAACGGG